ACUGGCCCUACCGUUAUAUUUGAAUUAAGGUUUUACAUUCUAGCAUGUUUGGCCUAUGUUGCGAAAAAGUGUGACUUUUUAGUUAUUUUCGGAGUAUGAUUACCACUCGUCUUAUCUUGUGACAGUACACGGCUUACCUGGUAUUUUUCGUUCAUCCCUCUGGCUUAUAGAUUGUCCAUGUAUGUUUCAGGUCAUUGCUCAACGGGAGAGUUCCCCGGCAGCAGAGCAUCACCAAUGUACAUGUUCAACUCAGCUCCACCGCCGCCGCUGCCGCCGCCACCACCACCUCCUCCCCACGGAGCACCCGGUGCACCGGGGCUUUCAACCAUGUUAGAUGAUCAUUACCCGCCCAAUGUCUCGCUCAUGUCGCCGCCUGGUAAUGUACACUAUUCUAUAUAGAUCCAUGGUAUAUCCCAUACUAAAUUAUGAUUAUAUCGAUAAUUGCAAUGACUAUAUGUGUUUGUUUGUUGUUGUUCUUCAUGUUAUGUUGCUAGUCUAUUUGAAAAAAAAUCAAAAUGUGCCUUUGUCACUUGCAUUUCAGCGAUGGAUGAGAGUCAUUAUGUAAACAUGUACAUGUAACUGUGCAGGGGGUAUUUUAUCAUGCAUUUUGAUAAAGAGGAACGUCUUUACUUCAGAUACGUUAAUGGCUGUACAUUUUUCCGUUAUCUAUAUACGUUCCUUCUCGGAUGGUAACCAAGUAUUUUCCUCUGUGUAGGCUGUCAUAAACGAAAUAGAUUUAUUUGUUAUUGUUAUGUGUAACAAUAAUAUUUCAUAUUUCUAUCUUAAAGCCUGGAUGGUGAAUUCAACCCAAAAUUCAACCAUUUUUUAUAGUGUGCUUUCUGCAUGCAUAUUUGACUGUAAUUGCAGGUUUCUUUAGUUCUUAGUCAUGGUAUAUUAAAUUUGUUACUGUCUCGCAGGAGUCGCAGACUUUAAUAUGACCGAGAGAUAUUAUGGAAAGCAGAAUAACACGGAUAAUGUUCUGUACGAGGUACGAUAGUAAACGUAUAGUCGAUGGGGCGUGGGAGAAAACGUUAUAUAGGCUUAUACGCUUUUCAUUUCAAAACGGAUUCUCUGGGUUAAAAAUAUUGAGUGAAAUUUAACGGGGAAAAACAAAACCCUGAUAUUUCAUCAAAAUCUUAUAAUAUCAAAUAAACGAAGUUAUUGAAUGAUCAAGGAGUUACCGGCGCUGUUAACUCCUUUGGAUGAUUUAAUAUUUCGUGAAAACUGUUCACGGCAUCAUUAUAAUUAUGCGAUAGGUUUAGACUGAUGAUGCCUUCCCCUUACUUUUGAUUUUACAUGAAAUCAUAAUCAUUUCAUAUUUUCAUACAGGCGUGUAUGAUUAUUAUGUCUCCCUUGUAACAAAAUGAGUUGCAGCAGUGAUCGUACAUAUUAAAUCAGUAUGUUCAACCGUUUUUUACUAUUGCAUGACAAACUUUGAAUAAUGUAAUUUCAAAAAAUUAGCUUGCUAAAGGCAUAUUCAUGAAGACGUGCACAGAACUUUUUUCGCCGAAAUAACUUUAAAUUUGAUAAAUUAAUCUAAUAACUUUUUAUUCCUUGUCCGAUUUCAACGAAAUUUGUAGUGUUUUGUACUUUGCUUGACUUUACUUUAUCAUACUGUUCAAAUCAUAGUAUUUUCAGUCUAAUGGUCCGUCAUGGAGUACCCCCUUAAACAAACCAAGAGACUUAUGGUUAAGAAGUCCCAUCGGAUGGACUCAGGAUGUUCACAUGAGUGAAUUCGAAUCACAAGAUAUUCGAUGAAAAUUUUUAUGCCACGUACACUCUUAAAAAUAUUGGGUAAAAAUGCUCGAUGAGGGUAAUAAUGUGUCCAACCAUUUUGGGCAUUUCUUUUUGGCAUUUUUAUUUAUCCAAUGUGAUGACAGUUUUGCCCAUUCUAAAGUAAUUGCGGCUGGUUUUUUUAACCUUACUGGACAUUAUAUGCUUCUCGCAUCGUGUAAAUUACUGCCCAAAAUUGACUGUAGUAGGUCCAUGCAUGGUUGCCAUGGACACAGUCAUGAUUACCCCCGUGCUCGUUUCACCCAAUAUUUUUACAGUGUAUAUAGUAGGGGGACGGGUUAUCUUACAGAAUAUUAUCUAUUUUCGCCAACUUUAUCCGCGUUCCUUACCUUCCUGCAUGCUUUCUAAUCGAACAUCUAGGUAUACAACAUUUGAGGGUUUUCUCUUCAAAAUUGUCAUGAUUGUGCCGAAGUUGACGUUUUCGAUUUUGAUGUCUGUGAUAUCUUGUUCAAUAACGUUCACUUUGCCCAGCCCCUUCCUCUGUACCUAUCUACCACCCCUCCCCACCUCCCCCUACCCCCCCUCUCUCUCUCACCCCCCUCUCCCCUUCUCUCUCUAUUCCCCCUCUCUCCAUGUUUAAAGAAUAUAUUGAAAUUAUAAUAUCAAGUUAUCAACAAGGAUUUAUCUUAAUUUUGAUCCAGCAUGCAUUAUAAGAAAAUUCGCCACCGACUGUAUCUGUUGCUCUGAUUCAACAUGUUCAAAAUAUUAAUUCAUGUGCUUCCUUCUACGUUGCUGGCCAUUUUUUUUUCAAUUCGUUGAUACUGUUCUCUUACAGCAAUAAUUCAUUUUUGUGGUCUGCUUGUUAAUGGCUGCAUUUUCACAAGGACUAAGUGGUUCAAGGUCAUGCAAGAGAAUGAAACAAAAACAAAUUUAUGAUUAAAAGGGCUCAACUAAAGACAAAUCAAGAGGAUAAGUAAAUGAAAUAUAAAAAAAUCAGCCAUCGUAGAUACAUGCAGUAAAAUAUACUGACGCUGUUUAAUGAACCUCACAAUAGGUAUUUUAACAGAUUAAAUAACCAUGCUUAAUUUAUUGAGAAUUAAGUAUAAAAAUCAAACAUUGUUGUUUAAGAUUUUAUACACUCGUUUAAAUUGUUAAAACUAUUGUAAGUUUCAUAAAGCAAAGAGCGUUGCAUGAAAAUUUUAAGGUUUAUUCAAAAUCAAACAAGCAUAACACUGAAAAUUUGCAAAAAUCGGUUUAAAAUAAGAAAUUUAUGACAUUUGUAAGUUUCGCUUAAUAGAAAAAACACAGUUACAUGUACACCAUGGUUAGUAUGCAAAUGAGGGGACGGAUGACGUCAUCCAUUCAUCAUUUCUUUUGUAUUUUGCUAUAUGAAAUAUCAAAUAGUUUUUACUCAUUUUCCUGUAAUAUUUUGUGGUUCAGUCAAGUUGGUCCUCAUUGUCAAAUCUGUAAAAAUUGAAACAUUGUAUAAUUCAAACAAUAAAAAACAAGAGAAAUAGUGAGUGAGGGACAUCAUUUUUUACUCUCUCAUUAUUUUGCAUACCCUUGAGUUGUGCAAAAAUGAGCGAAAUUUUAAAGUGCCAUAACUUUCUUAUUUUGCCUCCGAGUUUGAUGAAAUAUUUAGGGGUAGAUGUCCGGAUACGUAUUUAGCGUUAUGCUAGUUUGAUUUUCCUCUGUUGAUUCCGAUCAAAAUUUUCUUGACCUUUAAACAAACGUUUAAGCUCCUUUACUUUGUAGGAGAUGGAAUGAAGACGAAUUCCGGUCUUGAAGCCCACGCUAAUUAGUUUUAUUUCGAUAUAUAGAAGAGAGAUAUAGAAAAAAAAAUUUAUAUAAGAAAAUUAGUAGAAGAAAAAUAGAUAUAUAGAGUAUAGAAAGGUUAUAUGUGAAAGAGAUUAGAACUAGUUUUUGUCAAAUAUAUUCAGUUGGCCUAGACAGAUGAAAUGGAAACCUUAGUGCCAUUAAGAGGAUAAUUAAGGAGAGAGAGAGACGUUGAUCAGAAUCAGUG